UGAUGUCUAAGUUAUUUAUUCUUAGGCCAUGAUCCUGUCACCUUAGGUCGAUCGGUACCUCAGAUUAAGAAACAAAAUAAGGACUAAAUUAUUAGUUUUUGUUUUGGGAUUUAAUUUCAGUUCCUAAACUUUGUCUAGGUCACACCCCACACGGGUUACUCCUGGGCCAUUAGCUCAGGUGGUUAGAGCGCACCCCUGAUAAGGGUGAGGUCCCUGGUUCAAGUCCAGGAUGGCCCAUUCGGUUUUGGGGGUAUAGCUCAGUUGGUAGAGCGCCUGCUUUGCAAGCAGGAUGUCAGCGGUUCGAGUCCGCUUACCUCCACUGUCCGCACCUCUUUAUAAACCCCUAUUGAGAGGACCAAUGUGAGAUGUGAUUUAGAUUUAAGUUCGCUGAUUUAGAACCUAGCUUCCUAUCAUUCCAACUCUAAAUAAAUCAAUUUUAGAAAAGGUUGACAGGACGCUGGGCUCAUUCGGGAUUUCAAGGAAUCCUGAAUAAGUUUGGCAGAACCUUGACAACUGCAUAGGUGAGUCUGGAAAGAAUAAAGCAUCUCAUGGAUGCAUAUUUCUUUUUCUUUAAUAGAUUAAUGCUUUUGUAUUAGCCUUGUUUUAGAUAAGAGAAUUAUGUUUAAUUCUUGAGCAAGAGUCGAGACUCUAUAACGUUCUUUCAAUGCUGUCGAGGUAUUGAAAGUUUGAUUUUUAAUUCAAACCAGCAAUAAGUUCAAUCAAUUAACUUUGAUUUUGAUUUUUUUGAUAGGUGAAUUACUAAGAAUACGUUCAACAACGUAAAGCGUUAUAGGGAUUAAUUGGUCAAGCUACAA
rnacentral:tRNA from 1 species